rnacentral:misc_RNA from 1 species
GAUAUCGAGGCCCCUUGCACUUGCUUGUGAUGAUGGUGUAGUUCAAGAAUUCAAAGUUCACUGGACAAGCUUUUUUAGCCUGUAGGAGGUUCCGACCGAUUGAAAGCUUCGAUUCAAAGACAUCGCCUGAAAUGGAAGUGGAGGAAGAAGAAGCGAAAAGCAGUGAGAGGAUGAAGAGAAGAAGCAUCGUGAAGUAGUUGCAGAAGGAUCGAUCGGAGAGCAUAAUUCCGGCGAGAGAGAGAAAGAGAGAGAGUU